UACGUAGGGUGCGAGCGUUGUCCGGAAUUAUUGGGCGUAAAGAGCUCGUAGGCGGUGUGUCACGUCGGCCGUGAAAACCUGCAGCUUAACUGUGGGCGUGCGGUCGAUACGGGGCAUCACUGGAGUUCGGCAGGGGAGACUGGAAUUCCUGGUGUAGCGGUGAAAUGCGCAGAUAUCAGGAGGAACACCGGUGGCGAAGGCGGGUCUCUGGGCCGAUACUGACGCUGAGGAGCGAAAGCGUGGGGAGCAAACAGG
rnacentral:rRNA from 1 species